AUUGAACGCUGGCGGCAGGCCUAACACAUGCAAGUCGAGCGGAUGAAGGGAGCUUGCUCCUGGCUUCAGCGGCGGACGGGUGGGUAAUGACUAGGAAUCUGCCUGGUAGUGGGGGAUAACGUACGGAAACGGGCGCUAAUAUCGCAUACGUCCUGAGGGAGAACGUGGGGGUUCUUCGGACCUCACGCUAUCAGAUGAGCCUAGGUCGGAUUAGCUAGUUGGUGGGGUAAAGGCCUACCAAGGCGACGAUCCGUAACUGGUCUGAGAGGAUGAUCAGUCACACUGGAACUGAGACACGGUCCAGACUCCUACGGGAGGCAGCAGUAGGGAAUAUUCGACAAUGGGCGAAAGCCUGAUCCAGCCAUGCCGCGUGUGUGAAGAAGGUCUUCGGAUUGUAAAGCACUUUAAGUUGGGAGGAAGAACAGUGAAUUUAUACCUUGCUGUUUUGACGUUACCAACAGAAUAAGCACCGGCUAACUUCGUG
rnacentral:rRNA from 1 species